rnacentral:tRNA from 1 species
GCUGUAGCUCAGUGGCAGAACACCUGCUUGGCAUGCAGAAGGUCCCGGGUUCAAUCCCCAAUGGCAGACA